rnacentral:rRNA from 1 species
UUGAACGCUGGCGGCAUGCCUUACACAUGCAAGUCGAACGGUAGAGGGGCAACCCUUGAGAGUGGCGAACGGGUGAGUAAUGCAUCGGAACGUGCCCAGUCGUGGGGGAUAACGCAGCGAAAGCUGUGCUAAUACCGCAUGUGAUCUGUGGAUGAAAGCAGGGGACCGCAAGGCCUUGUGCGAUUGGAGUGGCCGAUGUCAGAUUAGCUAGUUGGUAGGGUAAAAGCCUACCAAGGCGACGAUCUGUAGCUG